GUGUAGUGAAUGCCCUGUUCAAGGAAUAUCCAUACCUUGCAGAUCCUGUAAGUAAUUUAGUAUUGUAUUGAUUGGAACAUAGCUUUUUAUAGAUCCCACAUGAACACAUCGAUUUUAAUUGUUUUCAAAAUCUUUUAAAUUUCAGAAAUGGUGGAGGCAGUCCUCGAGGAACAAGAUGAAGCUUUUCAGAUUGCCCUUAACAUCAAGCUGGUGCAUUUUGGAGCUUAACGAAAAAUUUGGUUCUCCAGGGAUGAAACCAGCUCAGAAACCAGAUGAGGAUGGAGAGGUCAUCCAACUUCAUUUCAAUAUACUAAAACAAGAGAUGAGGAAAGCUACUCCAGCUAUGCCGGAGAAAGAUGGAGAGAAGCUUCACUUAUAGACACAAAAGGAGGUAUAAUCCUGAGGUAUCUGUGGCACAAAUUUUUGAAGAAAUUCCAACUCUACGAUACAAAAACUUUCUAGCAAUUGAGGCUAAGUCAUUGAAUGUGGCUUCCCCAGGUGAAAUGUGGGAUAAAUUACAUGGAUCCAUCAUUCACUUGAUGAAAUUUUCAAAACCAAGGUCUAAAAACUAUCACCAGUUUCACAGCAGAUAUCUAGAAAAUUUGGACAGCACUCUGAAAGGGCAAGAAAGGAAAGAUGAUCAAGUCUCCAACUCCCACUUUGGUGAUGACGGCAAAGUCAUUUCAAAUCUUCAUCAACGGGGAGAAAGUUCUCAACAACAACAUAACAAAGUUCAGUGAAGCCUUAGAAGCGCUUUACUAUUAUUUUUCGGUAUUUGCAAUAGAGUACCCAAAAGAAAUAAAAAACGCAAUGUUUUUUUAGAAAAAAUAAUAUUUAAAGGAAGUACAAAGGUGCUGUCUACUGUAAUGUCAUGGGCCAAAAAGACUUGAACAGCUUAAAUAAAGAGGUAAGCUAUGCAGUGUUAAAAACGUGACCUGUUCUGUGUUAGUAGGGAGGCAACAACUGACGGGAAAAAUGUGUCUUUAAGAUUUUUUUUUUUUUCCGAGCCGGCAAGCCUCAAAAUCAGUUAUUUGCAAAAGGCUUCAAGUAUUUCAUGUAUAUGGCCUGCCCUGCACACACUGACAUCAGAACAGUGUAAGCCAUCUUUAUAAAACAUUUAAAGCUAGGAGGAGUUAUUGUAUGGAUAUAUUGGUUUACUUUGUAUUCUGUAAAUUUUCAUGUAAUAUUUUAAGAUGUAUAUAAUAAUGAUUAGAGUCAGUAUAUGCCUGGGAGAACCAUCAGGGAUGGUGGUGGCGGGUGGGUCAAGACAAUGUGCACCCUGGUUUAUGCUCCCAUUCAUACCAAAUUAUAUUUAGUAAUUAUUGUAUGUACAUAAUUUAUUGUGUGGAAUGGUCAUUAUUCUGUAAAUUUUUGUUAUAUUCUAUGAUGCAUAUGAUUACAUGUAUAAUUCAAAUAAUGAGAGGCACUGAAUUCCCCCAGAAUAAUUUUUCAUUUUUCUCAUUAGGAAGGGUAAAUUAAGUACACCAGAGGUAAAUCAGCCUAAAAUUUUACCUCACACAAAGGGUGAAUAAGACAAACAUUGGGAAAAUCAGCAUAUGGUUUUACCUUAGAAAGUAUAAAUUAUAGAUUCCCAAAGGGUAACUAAGCACAUCAUAUCACCUCAUAAAACAGGUACAUGAGUAUAUGAUUUCACCAACAGAGGGGUAAAUUGGUUACACAUAGGGAUAAAAUUGUGCACGAGAGCAGGUUAAGUCGCUGCCCACAUAAACGCAGCAUCCAGCUUUGGAUUGAAAAAUGAGAUAGAGAAAGUAUGAAGGAACAGAAAAGGGCCUACUGUCAGUUGCCUCAGACACCUGAGUUUAUGUGAGGAAAAGAAGAUGAGGUUUAGAAGAGGAGAGGUGGUGUUCUACAGAUUGAAAAUUACAAUGUUAGUAAGCAUGAUAGAAUAGUCUGACUUGGAGGAGAGAUGGAGGAAAGAUCAAAGAAGGUUCAAGCGGAAGGAGAAACGUGGAGGUAACUUGUGGAAGGAGAUAUGGAGGAAAGAAGAAACACUGGUGGAGAGAAUAAUUUAGUCAGCUUACCAGUAGUAGGG